ACCUGGAAUGUUGGUACCUGCCUGUCAUCCCUGCUAUCAGGGAGGUUGAAGCUGGUGGGUCUCUUCAGCUCAGCACUUCUGAACUGCAUUGGGAUAAUACUGAGCAGGUACCCACACUAAGUUGGGCAUAAAUAUGGUGAACUCCGAGGAUGAAGGUGCCACCGGGUUGCCUAAGAAGGGACAAACCAGCCCAAGUCAGAAAAGGAGCAAAGGUUCCUUGCUGAUCAGAAGCGGGACUGAGCCCAUUAGUAGCCCCUGUACUUCCAGCCUGGUUCCAAUGGGGAGAACUAGUCUUU
rnacentral:SRP_RNA from 1 species